UGAAGAAACAAAAGUGGGGAAAAUAUUGAUUAGAUUAAAAAUAAUUAUUUCAUCAGAAUUCAAGCAUUAGCCACAGACAAUGUAUCUAUUACAGUAAGAUUGAAGUUUUAAGUUCCCACUCUGUUAAUUUUUCUGCAUUGUCUAUAAAUUUAAUGUAAUAGGCCAAAAUUUCAAGUCCUCCUAUUAUAAAAUAAGAAAGAGGACUCACAAGAGAAAUCUGAAGUAUUCCACAGAGUUUCAUUGCUCAUAUCUUUGCCUCAGUAUUACUCUCAGCAAUUGUCUGCGGUCAUCCAUGUCCAUAACACGACAGAUUGAACAGCACUGGUUUGUAGGAAUUGUACGCACCCCGCUGGUGAGAAUAGGGUUUGCAACUUGUUGCACGUUGAAACGAGAAUGAACGAGUGAAACGGUGGGGACGACCAUGCGUAAAACAGACGGAAGGAAAAUUGGCGGCAUUAAAUUUCCAUAAUGACAUGUACCUAUUACACAAAUAUAACGAUGCAAUUAACAAAGCUAAAAGAUGAAAAACGAGAUAUUAGUGAAAUGAAAUAGUAAAAUAAGUCUACUUUCGUGAUAUAUGUUUGUAAUUUAAUACUCGUAUUAAAUUUUUUAUUCGAAAAGGAAAUUCGAUUAAAUAUUUAUUAGGAAAAUGGCGAUAUGCUAAAUAUAAUUCUUUAGAUAUACCAUAAGACAUACAAAAUAAUCGAAUAUUCUUUCAACGUGAAUGUGUCUAAGAUGCUAUUUUCCACUCUCUAUUCAUAAAUGUAUACUUACUCAUAUUAAUAUCCUUUAAUUAUAGAAGUGGAAUUAUAGAAAAAUCGAAGAAACAUAAGAAAGAAAUUCUUAUUUUCUUUAGAAUUAAAAAUUAUUGUCUCAGAAUUGAAAUAUACUACAGAUUUAGCUAAACAUUUAUAGCUUGAAAUUAUAAUAUUUUUAUCCCCAUAGUAUAGCCAUUGUCCAUUUAUUUGUCAUGCGAAAUGUCAACCUUAUUACUUUUUGAUUUCCAUAGUGAUCGGAAAUAUGGAAAAUAUUCAAGAAAAGGAAAAAUUGUGGGAAUAUUCGAUGAGGGAAGAAAAAAAGAGGAGAGAAAUAGUAGGAUGUUCAUUUAUAUGGCUGUCAUUCAAACUUCUUCAAAGAAUGGAAGGCUUCGAUAUUACAACAUUAAUCGAAUUCUUAUGAUCUGUGUUGAUCUUUGUUACAAUUAUUAUUAAUUAUGUAUUUCAUAGAUUGAGAACUAAAAUUUAAAUUUAUUCAGAAAGAAGAUUCCGCUUUAAUUUUAUGAUGAAAUUAAAAAUGAUUGGAACUCGUUAAGAAACAUAAUAAGAACGACAAAAUCAUUCAUGAACACUGUAAAAAGGAUAACAAUGAGUUUCAUUAGUAAAUAAAACGCAUAUUGAUUCAUA